rfam:Myotis davidii contig188456, whole genome shotgun sequence.
GGUAGUUCUUGGGUGACACACCCCAGAAUUGGGCUCCCUCCUCUCUGGUUUUGGAGUGCGUCACCCGAGAACCACC